UGCAAUAGUGUUUGCAUUUGGUGGC
rnacentral:piRNA from 1 species